UCGAACGAGCGAGAGAGAGCUUGCUUUCUCAAGCGAGUGGCGAACCGGUGAGUAACGCGUGAGGAACCUGCCUCAAAGAGGGGGACAACAGUUGGAAACGACUGCUAAUACCGCAUAAGCCCACGACUCGGCAUCGGGUAGAGGGAAAAGGAGCAAUCCGCUUUGAGAUGGCCUCGCGUCCGAUUAGCUAGUUGGUGAGGUAAUGGCCCACCAAGGCGACGAUCGGUAGCCGGACUGAGAGGUUGAACGGCCACAUUGGGACUGAGACACGGCCCAGACUCCUACGGGAGGCAGCAGUGGGGAAUAUUGCACAAUGGGGGAAACCCUGAUGCAGCGACGCCGCGUGGAGGAAGAAGGUCUUCGGAUUGUAAACUCCUGUUGUUGAGGAAGAUAAUGACGGUACUCGACAAGGAAGUGACGGCUAACUACGUGCCAGCAGCCGCGGUAAAACGUAGGUCACAAGCGUUGUCCGGAAUUACUGGGUGUAAAGGGAGCGCAGGCGGGAAGACAAGUUGGAAGUGAAAUCCAUGGGCUCAACCCAUGAACUGCUUUCAAAACUGUUUUUCUUGAGUAGUGCAGAGGUAGGCGGAAUUCCCGGUGUAGCGGUGGAAUGCGUAGAUAUCGGGAGGAACACCAGUGGCGAAGGCGGCCUACUGGGCACCAACUGACGCUGAGGCUCGAAAGUGUGGGUAGCAAACAGGAUUAGAUACCCUGGUAGUCCACACUGUAAACGAUGAUUACUAGGUGUUGGAGGAUUGACCCCUUCAGUGCCGCAGUUAACACAAUAAGUAAUCCACCUGGGGAGUACGACCGCAAGGUUGAAACUCAAAGGAAUUGACGGGGGCCCGCACAAGCAGUGG
rnacentral:rRNA from 1 species